GAGAGCAAUCUGGAGAACAGAAAGGUUUCCUCUGCCAGCUGGCGUCCCAAGCCCUGCAACCACAAAAGGCCUGUGGAGCCCAUCGAGACUGCGAAGUCGACAAAGAUCACAACAUCUCCAGGAAGGAGCCCACAGCAGGAGAGUCCCCUGCUUGUGACUAAGAGCAAAGAAGCAGUCGGUAUAUCAGGAGACCGCACGGAGUCACACACCUAGAAGACACGCUGCAGCUGGCUUGCCUUGUGAAUGGAAGGUCACAGCCAGCAAGGCUGUGAAGCGCUGGGAGGAAGAGCCUGCAGAAGAUGCAGCCGCUGACCUGAAAAACUAACCCAUGUGCCCCGUCUUUAAGGAUCAGACGGGCACAAUCUACUUGAUCAAGUUUUUGCUACUCCUGGGUACUGGUGAUGAUGGACAUUAGUCCUUCCUCUCUUCAGCUUCUGAAUCCCUGCAGGCUCAUCCAUACCUGAGAGGGCUCCCCAUUUGUAGAUGGGAUAGAUACCUGCAUCGGUCUCGCAGCAGCGAAGAGAGCCACAGUGACCCCCUACCCAGCUCCUCAGAUAUGGCACCAGCAAUGUUAGGGUUUAUCCUGGCCUGUGUCAUGAAACAGAUGAAGGGGGAAAUUUGCAAAUAUGGAUCACUACCCGAACUCCCCAGCAGGUGGCGCCAACACUCAGCAGCUGAGCCAAGGAUCCUGUCAUCCAGCUGGGAAGAGGCUAGAAGUGAGGGGCGGUUCCCUAUGCCCUUUUGAAAGCUGCUCCCCAGAGAAUCCCCUUUGACUACAGAGGGGGCGGAACGGAAGAGCCAGUUCCUCUCCCUGGAGCCAGCCUUAGACCAUGGCCAGGAGCCGACUCCAACCCACUGCAGCAGCAGCAGCCACAGACACAAGAGAUCAAAGACAAGCUGCUCCCAGAACCCUCCUGUUCACUUCUCCCCGCUGGGUGGAACGCGGCCCAGAGAACACAGCUCCAGGGCCCAGUCUCCUGUCUGCCAGCAGUGCCGGCUCUCCGCUGCUUCAGCGGGAGCGAACAAAACAGGGCGAUGGCGGAGCGAUCCGUCCCCUCUCGACCGGGCCCAGCGUCCGGCAGUCAGAGGUUUAGGGACACCUGCAGCAUGGGGUUGCGUCCAUAGGCGCCAGCUUCCUCUCUACCCCGGGUGGGGGGGAAGGGGAGCUCGAUCCUCCCUCCGCCCCACGCCCCGCCCCCACUCCACCCCUUCCCUUAAGCCCCCGUCCCGCCUCUUCCCGCCCUCGAUCCACUCCUUCUCCCAAGGCCACCCUCCGCCCUGCCUCUUCCUGCCCUCUCCCCGAAGCGUGCCCUGUCCCCGCUCCUCCCGCUCCCUCCCACAUGCCGCUGAACAACUGACCUGCGGUGGGCGGGAGCAUAGACGCCGACUCCGUGGGUGCUCCGGUGCUGGAGCAACCAUGGGGAAAAAUUAGGGCGUGCUCUGCACCC